UGAAUGAGUGCUCAAGUUAACAAGAUGAUGUUUCAUCAUGUCUAAGUCCAUUUAAAACCUUUGUGUGUGUCUACGUGUGUGUGAGAGGGAGAGGGAGAGGGGUUGGGGGAGGGAGAGAGAGGCCGAUUAUUAGGUAUUUUCUCCACUAAGGGAGUAUAUCUCUGUAAAGCCCAAGAUGACAAUUUAACAACACAGAAAUUUGCAAAAUAUUUAUAGUGGAUAACCUUGGAGUACUUUUGUAAUCUUGUGAGAAUUUUUCUCUAAAUUUACCAAUUACAGAAUUUCAAUAAACUCGAUAAUAGACCAAUAAAUACUGAUUUUCUCAUCAGGACUUGUAACUCCAUUUUCUCACUGUUCUACUGGUUGUGUUAGUUCUUAGAUAUUUGACUUAAUCAGUUACUAACCUCUCGUGUGUCUCUCCAAUUUCAUCAGUUGCCAAUUUAAUCCAAGUUUUCACACAGUCUCAAGGUCCCUCUCUUUCAGACACCCAUCUUUGAAAAGUGGAAAUAUUAACAUAAUUGAUAUAUGUCUGGGUCGAAGAAAAUAUGGUUGGGAGUUACCAGUGGAAGUUUUCUCUUCUGAAGCAUAAAAUAGCUUGAUCAAUUGAAAUAAAAUUACUGCAUUUUUAUGGGUACCAAAGGUUUCAUUACAUUUGAAAAUAAAGUAAAAGUUUUACUGUAUAUAACUUUAAAUCAGCCAUAUCCUCCAGCAAAUUUGGAAUGUUAAAAUUAAAUGUAUUUGUCUGAAACCUGAUUAGUGGAGACCCUAAGAGCUGAAUUUGAGUCCUAUGGAUGUUCAUAGUGUACCUAAAAUAUGAAAAGUAGAGUUUAGCAUUUUAUCUCUGUUACUAAAACAUAACACUUGUCACAGGAUGUGUGCUUAGAUGAAGAUGUUAUAAUGUGCAGAAAAUAUAUAUGAUCAAUUAAAUAAUAAAUAUUAUAAAACUAUUGUAUGUGUUCCAUAUAAGCUAAGUAACAAUGUUACUGGUCUUUAAAGCUUUCUAAGUAUCUUCUAAUCUCCUUGAUGUUCUUGCUGUCCUAUGUGGGGUUGGCACUAUCCUAGCUUUUGUGCUAUUCACUACCCUACACUAUUUUUCUUUUUUAAUAGUUCAAUCAAUUAUAAGAUCCUGAAGCACUGAGAUGCUUAUAUUUGAGACACUGAGUUUAUUUUAGUUUGGUUUUGUUUUAGACAGGCGAUAUCACAAUAUUACUCUAUCAGAAGAAAGAGUCUAGAAAAAUUGAUGUUGUAGGAGUCUCGUUUCAAUUAAUCUCACAGUCGACAAAAUGUUCUUCUGAAGAAGCCAGUGAGAAUGUCUCAGCUGAAUGCUAGUCCUUCAUAUGGCUGAGAAGUGUUCCAGGCUUUCAGACAGAGGAGCCAGGUCAACAAAAGCAAGUCACUCUGCAUGGAGAAUUUGAAGCCCAAAUCCUUUGACCUGAUGAAAAGUUCCCAUACACAUGACAGCAAGGUGAUCGGUGAAUCAAAGGAAGGCAGUCUUAGAUGAUACAGUGGCUGCGUUCACCUGGCAUUUUGUUCUCACUGUAAGAAUCAGUGAAAAUGCUUUGUAACUGGGAUGCUCACAACUCAUUUGAUGCAUACCUUUAUGGGUUUUUAUGUCAUACUCAGAAUUCUGGGACUUCAUGAAUGCAUUUUCCUGGAAAUUGUUUUUCCAUUAAAACCUGUAUUCAGUACACUAUUUCCUUUGUAAUUUCAUUGUUUGAGAUUGUCCUUAUUUAGAAACAGUUUUCCUCCAUCAUUUUCCUAAGAAAUUAUUGAUAAGAGCUUUCAAACAGGUCAACUGUUUCUUAUGUGUUUUAAGAUAUGACUUGUCUCCCUUAUGCUGUUCAUGUUGGACUGUGGAAAAACCAUAGUUUGGGAAUAAGAUAAUUAGUCCAUUUUAGAGGUAGUCUGUUACAUUGUUUCUUUGCCUUUUGUGUUUCUGGGACAUGUAAGGUUAGUUUUACUUCAGAUCUUUUGGAUUUGAAAACUCAAUUUUUUUUCUGCUCCAGAAUCCCCCCCUCUCUCCCCCUCCCUCUCUCUCAUUAUUCUAAAAUUUAGUCUUUGAUGUGGGUCAAGUUCCAUUCAAAAAUUUCAAAUUCUAUUGCUUAGUGUGGUAGAACCCUCUCAGAUUGUUACUAUAGGUCUUUCUAGUCUAAGAUGUUUGGUAUACUUAUGUAUUCUCUCUGUUUUCACUAGUAUUUUAAUAUAGAAAGAUGAAAGCCACAUUUCACAUUUCCCCUAUUUCCUUUCUUUAAGUGCUUUUUUUUUGAGAUUAUGAUAUAUUAUAUAAUUUAGACCUUCUCUUUCUUUCCUCCAAACCCUCUUAUAUACUUUUUGUUCUCUUUUAAAAUUCAGGCCUCUCCCUGCUUUCCUCCUUCAACUACUUUUGAGCCUCAAGCUAUGUUUAUAUCUGUCAGCCUGGAUUCACAGACAAGAGCAUAACUGUCUUCAGAAAGCUCUAUCCAGCAGCUGACCAAAAUAGAUACAGAGAUCCACAGCCAAACAUUAGACAGACCUCUGUAAGUCCUGAAAAAGAAUUGGGGGCAUGGAGAGGAUAGGGAUUCCACGAAAAGACCAACAGAAUCAACUAGUUGGGAAUGUUCAAACCAGAUGAAAUCUUAUCACUAAGAGAGAGAAAUGGAAACACGGACCAAUUUCUAACCAAGAAGCUAUCUGAAAUUGAUAUUUUCUGGCAAAGAAAACAAACAGACAAGCAUUAGUUUUCUCCAAUGAGGUCUCACUGAGUUUAUCAAUAACUCUUCAGGACUGGCCCCAUGCCCAGGAGUAGUAGGCUAACACAAGAUAAACAUAAUGAUUUAUUUGUAAAAUAAGAAUAAAACAUCAGGUGGGAGGGGGGGUCAGGAAGAUCUGGCAGGAAUCGGAAAAGGGGAAAAUGAUGAUCAUACAUUGUCUGAACACAUUUUUCAAUAAAUUUUAUCAAAGUAAUGUAAUUAAAAUGAAGAAAAGGAUAGCAUAUUUAAUAAGUGAUUGCAUAGAAUAUCAUUGCUACUUAGAGGUUGGGGAAACAAAAGAGAUAUCCUAUGAUUCCCCUCAGCAGAUAAAAGAGAGUCAAAGGAAAAAGUAUUCUUAUACAUUCGUAGGGUAUCAUGUCUUUGCUCUAGGAAUUCAUUGUGCUUAGUGAGACCAGGAGACCCAACAUUAGACUUCACUGUAACAAGCAUAGCAAAAUACUUGACCUUGAGAGUACCAAGUCUAGAGAAGAUCAUAAAACAUAAUUUUUUAAAAACUUUACAUUAAAGUUACUAAUUUUGGAUUCAGGGACUCAUUAUAUUGCUCAGUCCUUCCUCUUAAAGUUCUGGUAUUACAAACAUGAACGAUCAUCCAUAGCAAAUAAUUAUGUCUCAAACAACAUUUCUUUUGUUAGACUCAGACCAUUUUUUAGUAGUUUUAUCAUUCUCCAACCCCAUGCUCUUUUAUCUGUUAGUGCCUCUAGGUAAAGAUUUAGUAGGCUUUCAGAAAGUCUUUGUAGUUUCAAAAAAUUCUUUAAUGUUGCUCCAAAAUUGAUUUACCAUCUCUUGGAUAUUCACUUUUUUAUGUUUUUUUUUAAAAAACUUUAUUAGAUAUUUUCUUCAUUUACAUUUCAAAUGUUAUCCCCUUCCCGAGUUUCCUCUCCAAAAGUCUCCUAUAUCCUCCCCCUGCCCUGCUCCCUAACCCACCCACUCCUACUUCCUGGCCCUGACAUUCCCCUGUAUUGGGACAUAUAAUCUUCACAAGACCAAGGGCCUCUCCACCCAUUGAUUGCUGACUAGGCCACCCUCUGUUACAUAUGCAAUUAGAGACACAAGCUCUUGGGGUGGGGGGUGGGGUACUGGUUAGUUCAUAUUGUUGUUCUUCCUAUAAGGUUGCAGACCCCUUUAGCUCCUUGGGUACUUUCUCUAGCUCCUUCAUUGGGGGUGGGGAUUCUGUGUUCCAUCCAAUAGAUGACUGUGAGCAUCCACUUCUGUAUUUUCAUCUUCAUGCAAUAGCCUACAUUUUUGAGAAGACCGGGGGUGUUUGUUUGUUUUGGGAAUUUACUUUUGUUUUAUGACAAAGGAUGAGGGAGUUCCAAAGGGCCUGACCUAUCUCUUUUUCCAAGAGGUUACGUCCUGUGAUUCUGGAGUCCACUAUACACCCUAGGUUUGUGAAGUGUUUUGUCGGGUCAUCUGGAUGUCUGGGAGUUCUGCAUCAGAACUAUACAGGAAGAUAGAGUCAGUAGAACAUAUGUGAUAUGUUGGAGGAGACUCAUUGUGGAUAUUGGCUCAUAUGGAGACUGAGACUAGAGAAGCCUCUGAUCUACCAAGAUGGAAACCAUAUAAUGUUACUUCAUGAGAUUAACAAAGAGACCAUCUUCUAUUUCUUUCUGGAAUUUUCUUUUUUUUUUAUUCUAUUAGUUUGAAAUAGAAACUUUUAUUUCAAUUUAUUCAAAAUUAGUUUUUUUAAAGAAGAAAUUAUUGAACUGAGUUAUAUUUCUAUUGCUGUGAUAGCACAUCUUUUUAAAAAGAAAGUGUUUAUUUCUGGUUGACAGUUUCAGAGGAUUAAAGUCCAUGACCAUUGUAGUGGAGAGCAUAGAAGCAGUUAGGCAUGGUUCUGGAGCAGAAGCUGAGAGCUAAUAUCUUGGAAAAUAGCCAUGAAGCAGAUUUAGGGACCCUGGGAUUGGAGUGAGUAUUUUGGAACUUCAAAACUAGUCCCCAGUAACACCUCCAAUAAAGUCACUUCUAAUCCUUCCCAAACAAUUCCACCAACUGAAGAUCAAGUAUUCAAGCAUAUGAGCUUCUGGGGCAAUUCUCAUUCAAGCCACCAUAUAAUGCUAAGAGGGAACACUCAGUGUUCACUUUUCAGACUUUGUUUGGCAGAAAAGGACGAUGAGGCUAUAUGUUCAGUAGCCUCUCUCCUACUACCUUAAACCCUGAGCUCUGUAUAGCUAAAUUCCCUUUUAAUGCAUGACAGGGAAAAGGAAAAUGAUGGCAUAAUGAUUUUAUAUAUUGUUAACUUCCUGAAAAUUACAUUUUUUUUAUUGUUUGAGAAUUUCAAGCAUGAAUAUUCAAAUCUCAAUCUCUCCCCUUUAAAGUCCUGAUUAUUAUGACACCAGCAGCCGUCAAUUGCAACAUGGCUCCUCAGCCAGGAGAGGGGCUUCUUGAGCCUUUUCUCUUUCUGUGCUGGGAUUUUAGCCGCUAGUAUCUUGUGUAGGUCUAAUGCACAUAGCCACAGCAACUGGGAGUUUAUGUGUGCAAUGGCUCUGCAGUGUUCAGCAAAUACUAUUCCCCUUCAGAUGACUUCUACUUCUGCGCCUAUUCUGUGAUAAUCCCCGAGCCUUGGGGGAGGGCAUGUGGUAAAGGAGUGUGGUUUAGAGCUGAGUACUCCACAGUCUCUUACUCUCUUUACAUAGAUUCCUUGUGUGUGUCUGUAUUAAAUAUUAUUUAUCUAUUAAUAUAUUAACUUAAAGUUUUCUGUGCAUAAGACAAAGUACAAAAAACAAAGUACAAUAAUAUUAAUAUCAAAUACAAAUUAAAUAUAAUAAAUAUAUAAUUAUAAUUGUAAAUAUAUGUUUGUUAAAAAUAGGAAUGAUAAAUGUGGGAAAAGACCACUUCUCUGGCACAUGAACAGCUUUGGGUUUCAUCUUCAGCACAGAAUAUAUAUGCAUAUAACAUAUCCCUUCCCAAUGCUUCCAAGUCUUGUCAGAUAGUUUGAAGUCCACAGGUUUUUUUUUUGUUUGUUUGUUUUUGCUUUUUUGUUUUUUUGUUUUUUUUUUUUACAUUUUAUCCUGAGCAAAUAAUGUGAGCUUCAGGAUAAAAUGUAAUAAAUAGUCUUUGUGGCUAUGAGAUACAAUAUUAUACAGUAACUGAGAUUACAUUAACAAUCAAAUUUUAUAUGGAUUUCUUUUCUUUGGUAAGAUAAUUGUUAAAAUGAAGGUUGAGGGCCCACUGUAUUGGUGCCAAGCAAUAAAAGGGGGUUGAGUUUCAUGACCUCAAGUAUAGAGAGCAAGCCGUCACUGCUUACGGAGGAAGGAAUCACAGAAUCUGUUUCAUUGAAAAUUACACAAUAGUCACACAGCAGCUAGACAGACAGUGUGGGAGCAAAAUACACAGACUGAACCAGCGCACUUGGGUUCAGUCUUGUAGGUUGUUGUCCAGUCCAGGCGCCCACCUUUUCAUUUUUUACAUACAGAGAAAGAACUCUCUAAUGAUUUAAAAUGACUUUGUCCUUUAUAAUGUAGUGCUUGCAGCAGUUGAAGAAUCUACCAUCACUAAAAGUAAGGACUGAAGAGAACUCUAAUAUCUUUGACCACCACUGCAGCAAUUCAUUACCUCUUUCUUCCUUUUGUUUGUUUUUUCUCAUACAAUAUAUCCUGACAGUAACCUCUGCUCCCUCCCCUCCCUCCAUUCUUCCCAGCACUUCUGCUCUUUCCUUUGUUCCCCAAGUCCACUGCUCCUUCCCUUCCCUUUAGAAAAAAAGCAUGUCUUCCAGGGAUAUCAACCAAAUAUGCCAUAACAAGUUGCAAUAAGACUAGGCACAAACCCACAUAUCAAGGCUGGACAGGCAAGUUAGUAUGAGGAAAACGGACCCAAGAGCAGGCAAAAUAGUCAGAGAUACUCCCCACCCCCACUGCAAAGAAUCCCACAGGAACCACAAGCUAAACAAUCAGGACAUACAUACAAAAGUACUAGCUCAGACCCUGUGAUUGCCGCUUCAGUCUCUCUGAACCUCUAUAAGCCCCACUUAGUUGAUUGUGUGGACUGUCUUCUUUCUUUUAAGUGGUCACUAUCAUUCCCAUGCCUAGUGGUGCUCAGUAAAGCAGUUGUCUCAUUUUGGGACACUGUUAGGAACUAUGAGUUGCAGAGGAGGCCUUUGAUAACACCUAGAAAUAUUUUUGAUUGCCAUGAUUAGGGGAUGGGCUACUAUUGGAAUUUAGCAAUAAGAGGCACGGGGUGCUUAUAAAUGUCUUACAACAUAGAAGAUAUGAUCCGCACCCAGCAAUAAAGUGUAUUCAGGGCCAAAUGUCAGUAGUUUCCAGUAUUAUAUCAGAAGACAAGUGGAAACUAUCUUCUCUCUUUCUGUUUCCUAUUUCUAUCUUAAAUGUAAAACUUGUAGUCCUAAUUUUCACUUCCUAUAGUAGACUUCUGCCCUGCAGACAGCUCCCAGCACUAAGGCAGGUGCUCAGGAAAUGGUGAUUUAUUUUCAGUCCUUUGUCAACUAUCAUUAAGGUAAAGUCCAGUUUGGUACACACGGCAAACUAUUUGACUCCCGUAAAUUCUUUCUGGGGAUACUUUCCAUUGUACAACAGAAGGCCAACAGAAAAAGAAACAGAGUUCUCUCUCUCUUGUAUAUGUUCUUAAUUUCUUCUAUUUUUUUAAGAUUAUAAAAGAUUAUACGAUUUCCUCUUCCCCUUCCAUUUCCUCGCUCCAAAUCCUUCAAUAUGCCUUUCCAUUUUUCCUCUCUUGAAAAUAUAUACCUUUGUAUUUUAUUAAGUUGUUGUUACAUGCAUAUAUAAAUAAAUAGAUAUGCCUAAGAAUGACAUGUUCGGUCUGUAUAAUCUUAAUUGUAUGUAUGCUUGCAGGACUGAGCAUUUGGUGUUGGAUAACUAAUUGAUGUGCUUUUUCUUUCCUGGGGAGACUAUGUCUCCUCCCUCACCAUUUCUAUAGUUCCUUGUGUAGAGUUGAUGCCUCUUUGUCCUGUCUACUUUGGCAUAGCUAUUGUUGUCCUGGGUCACCUUGUGUUUAGGAGUUUAUGUUAGUGAGGCUUUACGGGUGUUAGCAUCUGACAUUGCUAGGAGACACAAUUCCCAGCAACUCCUCUUAUCUUCCUGUUCUUCUGGCCCUGUCUUCUGCAAUAUUCCCUGAGCUUUAGGUAUGGGAGUUGUUUACUUCACUUAAAGAGUGGUAAAGAAAUCUUAUUCUUAUUCUUUAAUAAGAAUUCAUCAACCUGAAACUUAAUAGGGUUUCCCAGUAAACCCUCUUAGAGAGAAUACCAGAAUUCCAGGAGGCCUGGGGUGAUUAUAUAAGUCUCUUAGGCUUUAAGUUAGAAACUACUGUGCUAAGAUUUGAACAUUACUUCAAAACUCUCUUCAAAAUGUUCUUCUAUGUUAUUUUCUCUUAGUUAUGUUCUUCUGUGUUACUUUCUCUUAGUUUUAUGUUCUUCUAUGUUAUUUUCUCUUAGUCAUCCUAAACAUUUUGGAUAUGCGUUUUCUCCCCUCCUUCUCACCAGCUAAUACUAAUUUGCUCAUCAAUGACUUAACUCCAAAGCCAAUUUUUAAGGAAUACUUUCCCCUAACCUGAGACUGUACCAACCAGCCAGACCUCCUCCUAAAUGCUUUUAGAACACAGCAUGACUUUACCUCAUGGUGACUGUCACAUUACAUCCAGGAUUAUUUGCAAGAGUAGAAUUCUUAGCUUUCUCUCUCUGUAUGCUAUAACAUAUUAUGAGAACCGGGCUGCUUCUCUUUGGGUAUCUUCUGAUACCUAGAUGUGGGAACAAAGCAGGCAGAAAGCAGGCACUCAGUAAACUAGUGACAAACCAGUUUCCCUCAGUAAGAUGAGCAAAAUCAUGAGAAUUAGGAUGGGUUUCAAUGUACAAUUCAAGGGAGGUAAGUCAGCAAGGCUUUUCCGAGUACAGAGGCAGUGGUAGACCUUACACCAGCUGUAUGAGAUAGUUAUGCCUGACAGGAUAAACACUGCUAAGCCAACACCAGCCCAUCUAGGUUCAAAACUAGACCUACGCACCCACUGUGGACAUUUGUAGCAAUAAAGCUGGGUGCCUGAUUUUCUGUUUUCUCUUCCAGUUUCGAUCUAUGUCCUCACCUCAUCCCACCUCAUUAUCUUUUAAGGAAAAGGUAAUCUGCACUUUCUUAUCAAAUCAACAAUAAUGAAACAAAAACAAACAAAAAAACCUGAAACCAAAACCAAACUUACAUUGUUGAGAUGGCGCAGCUGGUAAAGUACCUGUUCACAAACACCCAGAUCUGAGGUCCAUUCUCAAGUGGAUGUGGUCCUACGUGUGAUAAUCUCAGCUCUGAAGAAGUGAAGAAUGAUAGGUCUCUGGGGCUUGGGACCUGGCCAGCACAGCCUAGCUGGCAAGUUCUAGGGCAGGACUAUAGUGCCUCAGGAACAAUACCCAAGGCUGUCCUCUGCUCUCCAUAUGCACACACACACACACACACACACACACACGGUUUGUAUUCUGGGUGUUAUGUCUUUUUCAGAACUGAUUUUUCUUUUCUUGAUUUCCUUUUUUUAACGAGCUGGGUAGUUUGGAUUUUGUUUUUAUUUUGUCCUGUUUUGUUAACUUGAGAUAGGGUCUGGCUUUGCUCUUCAGGCUUUCUCCGACUUGUGGCCCCCGACUCUGUUUAGCUCUCCGAAUGCUGGCGUUUAUAGACAUGUCCACAACAUUGACUUUUGCCUGACAAUUUUUUUUACAUUUAUCCAAGUACUUUUUUUUAUCUUUUUGUUAAAUCUUCUCCUCUUGGCCACCCUAUUCUCUCCAUCUACGUUUCUUAAAAACAUUAUCUUUACCUUUGUAUUUGUCUCCUCAUCUUCCACAGCUGUUCUCCUGGAAUAUUUUUAAUGAAAUAAAAAAUGUUAGCUUUAUUUUGCAACGGUAUAUUGAAAAUGUCUGAUGCAUAUCUCAAUGUAACACCUUUGGAGCCUCUGGGGCAUGAUGCACUUUGUUCUUUUUAAAACUUCUCUCAUUGAUUCUCUAAGGAGGAUGCCCUCCGGUGUCCCUUCCCAGUCCUGCAAUCAUCUUCUCUGAAGCUACUCUGUCAGAUGGGCUUCCUGUCCUAUGCCAUUGCUGCUCUUCUCAAAGAUCUGCAAUUCCUGAUAGAUUCUCUUCUGUUUUCCAAGACGGCUCGUGAUCAUUGCCUUCCUUUUGGAAGAACACCGAUAAGGAAACCACAGAAAAAAAAUUUCCUGGACUUUUGAGAAGGAAAAGAUGGAGAUGGGACAAAAAGAAUGAAAAGAUCAACAAGACACAACACUGGCCACAAGACUACUUUGGGAAAAUACUGAAA